UACGUAGGGGGCAAGCGUUGUCCGGAUUUAUUGGGCGUAAAGAGCGUGUAGGCGGCUUGGUAGGUCUUGCGUCAAAACCUGAGGCUCAACCUCAGUUCGCGUGGGAAACCACCUAGCUAGAGUCCGGAAGAGGAGAACGGAAUUCCCAGUGUAGCGGUGAAAUGCGCAGAUAUUGGGAAGAACACCAGUGGCGAAGGCGGUUCUCUGGGACGGUACUGACGCUGAGACGCGAAAGCUAGGGGAGCAAACGGG
rnacentral:rRNA from 1 species